UACGGGGGGGGUAAGCGUUGUUCGGAAUUACUGGGCGUAAAGGGCGCGUAGGUGGCGCCCCAAGUCAGUGGUGAAAGCUCGAUGCUCAACAUCGAGUCGGCCACUGAGACUGGGGGGCUCGAGCACUGUAGAGGCAGAUGGAAUUCCGGGUGUAGCGGUGGAAUGCGUAGAGAUCCGGAAGAACACCGGUGGCGAAGGCGGUCUGCUGGGCAGUAGCUGACACUGAGGCGCGACAGCGUGGGGAGCAAACAGG
rnacentral:rRNA from 1 species